rnacentral:tRNA from 1 species
GGGGAUUUAGCUCAGUGGUAGAGCGCUUGCCUAGCAAGUGCAAGGCCCUGGGUUCGAACCCCAGCUCCA